UCCCUUCUGUGGAUGUUCUGCUUGUGUCCCUGCUGAGGGAGUUGCUGGCUUUCCAGUUAAGGCAGUAGUUGGACCAGUUGGGUGAUCACUUUCCCCCUUGCCAGAUGUUUGGGCCAGUUGAGCAGUUAAUACCCAUGGGAAGCAGCCUUAGGAGGAUGGGAUGUGUGCAGCCUGUGGCAGAGAGCCCUCCCCUAUUCAGGGGAGACUGCCAUGGAAAGGAGACUCAGCUUCUGUCUCAGGAGGAAAGGUGAGCUUCCAGUUCUUCUGCAGCAAGAUUUGAGUCUGCACAAGACUGAGGUGCCUGUGGGACAACACUUUCUCUUUGACCUUUUGAUAGUGGCUUGCUCUGAGAUGUUUUAAAUGAGCAGUGCUAAUGAGACUGUUAAUUACACCCAUCCCAGUGCUGUAUUACUUCCUUCCUCUCUUCACUGGCAUUCAGCCUUCCCAGAGCACAAGCAGGAUGGUUGCUGGCUGAGGGAGGAUGUAGCUCAGUAAAGUCAGAUCAUUUGUUCUCAUGGACUGUGCACGCCACAGGGAACAAGACCCUAAUGUUGUAAUCCUGCCCCUGUCACUGCAUUGAUGUGCUUUAUGGAUCUGUUUCUUUCUGCCCAUAAUUUUUAGUAGUCAGUGAAGUCCACAGGGACUGGUAAGAGGCUUGGCAGUGUAAAGCACUCUGAAUGUGCUUGUACAAUGUGGGCUGUAGAGUUAAUUCGUAUCCAGCUGAGCACUGGUUUUUCAGCACUGUUUCAUUCCAGGAUGAACAUAGCAGAAUCUACAACACGCUGGACUUUUCCUAUGGGAAAGUGUUGUCUCCUGCAGCAACUGUCCAAUCCUGGCAGUCACAGCUGGGCACCUGAUGGCAGCAGGACCCUGGCAGCAACUUGCAGAGAUUCACCAUGUCCAUGUUAUGGUUCAGUUAAGAUGAACCCUAAGGCUCAUUUCUCUGAAAACUCUGGGUCAGUUUCUGUGUGAGUCCACCUCUGCCAGUAGCAAAGCCAAGGAACACUAUCCAGUCUACGAGAUAUGUAUUUGGAGAUUGAUGCCAGCCUCCCAAACUGCAGAGUGUCAGCUUGCAAUUCAAGAGGUGCUGACGUUUGCAGGAAGGCUUGCUGUUCUAAGCUGUCAGAUGUUAGCCAGUGUAUGUAAUUAACUUGGUAUAAUUCUGCUUCAGAAUGAAAUAUUCGUUCAAAAGAGACUUUAAAAAACCAUCCUGAUGUUUCUAGUGUCUGGGUAGUAAGUGGUGCUGCACAGAGCAAGGCAUAUAUUUAUUGUUAGAGAGAUUGGUUUCAUGGCAGCUCCUCUUUGUUACUGUGGUGCACAGAAAGUCCCAGAGGCUUUUGCUGUCCAUCACUUCUUGGGUCUUGUGGUAAUCCAGAUACAAAAUCCACAGAUGUACAUUAACAGUGGAAACAGAAAAUAUUACCAAAAUACAGCCUGAAAGGCUCUGGUUGGCUAAUUAUCCCAAAGGACAAAGGUAAAACUUUAUUUUGCAUAGUAGUUUUUCUAGAGAUUGGUAAUAAAUCUUGUGAGCAGAGGAGGAGCGGGAAUGGAAAUGGAAGGGGUAAAAAAUUUGUUUUGCCCCAGAGGAAAUUCAGGAAUUAGGGAAGUGAUAACACCACCAAACCAGAAACCCAUGGCUUGCAUGUGGUAUAUAUCAAAAGCUUCACCCUGAGUCAGGGAGAGUUGAAGAUUUGCUGAGAAGAAAAUUAUGGAAGUUUAGAAAUUACAUAGCCCAUUUGAUUUAAAGAUGGGAACAGGGUGUUGUGUGUAGUUGUGCCAUGUAGCUCCUGUUUACCUCUCCACUGUGAAGUUCAUUGAGCACUUCUGGUCUCUAAAUCUGUUACAUGUUUUGAUUCUAAUGUUGCACUGUGCAGAAGGAAAUUAUUCUUUUUAAGACUUAAAUUUUAUUGUUUCCUCUUUGAAAAAUAUCUUAGACACCAAAAUUCUCUUUUUGUGCUCUAUCAAAACCAAAAUGAAGGGUUUGCCUCAGACUGUAAGCUGAACUUGCUAAGUUUAUGAUCAGAAAACAACUUCCUGAAAGAUGGAGAGGCAGAGAAUAUAAAAUUGACAAAUCCAGCUGAUCACUGAGAUCUCAUCACGCUUGAGCCUUUUUUUUGUUGGGAGUGAAGUUUUUUAUGGUUGUUUUGGUUUUGUUUAUUUGUUUAGAUUGCAUCCAGGAUGGACCAUAUAAAGCCAGAAGUAUUGAGUCUUUGCCUUGUUGCUGGUUUUCUGGUACCACAGGCUUGCUGUGAUAGUCUGGUCACUUCUAUCAGUCCAAGUUUACCACAGUUAUUCCACAUUGUACCUUAAAUGAUGCGAAGUAAUUGUCUGGAUGAGAUUCGCAGCAGGCAGGUUGUUACCUGUGAGGAAGGAUGAAAAGUCCUUUGUAGCUGCACAUAACCUCCAGUUUCUUGCAUAGCCAAGCACUCAACAGAAAAGGAAUUCUUCAGCAUCUUGUUUCAAAAGACCUUGGACAAUCUUCUGCUGUUCCACUCCCUUUGGUCCCACAUUUAAGCAAAAAAAAGAUCCAAAGAAGAGGAUGAGGCAGCUUAGAGGAAAACCUAAGAAAGAGACCUCCAAAGAUAAAAAGGAGAGAAAACAGGCAAUGCAAGAGGCCCGGCAGCAGAUCACCACGGUGGUGCUUCCCACACUGGCUGUCGUAGUACUGCUGAUUGUUGUGUUUGUCUAUGUAGCCACUCGUCCCAAUACAACUGAAUGAUGCAGCUUUUCAGACUCUCUAGCUUUGGGAUAUUAAUUUUACCAAGAGCCAAAAGGAACUCUCUGCCACUCUUUUAGUACUUUGCAAAGGAUCUUGCUGGUAUUUUCAGUCUUUCUCUUGGCUAGAGUCCCACAGAUUCUCUUUAGGAAUGUAACAUAAAACAUAUUAGUGAAUGUGCUAGUACGUUUUAUGGUCCAGUUAUGUGCCUUUCAGACUUUUAAAAAUGGUGUUUUUCUUAAAGCUGUUUGAAGCUCUAUAUUGUAAAAGAAAAUCGUGUUCUGCUAUAAAUUUGUAAAAAAUCAGCUUUCAGCUUUUAUCACUGUUACGGAUAAUGUUGCUCCCAUGAGCUCUUGUAUGUCUAUUUCAGAAUUUCCAAAGAAGUACAUUUCUUCUUUGUACUUAAUGUCAUAUGAAGUGCUUUGAUUCAGAAAGGAUAUAUUUAUUUUUUGAAUAAAAGAAGUCUUACUUGGAAUCUUCAAAUUAUUUUGCAAAAAAAUGUGACAUUGUGAGAGCCUACAUUGUGUAAUAAUUUUUUCAUCAACCACUAUAUAGUUCACUCAGAAAGAGUUUCUUUUUGGUGCAAGAUACCAACAUGCAAAGUGAAUACUUCAGGACCUGCUGGAUGGAAUCGUACAGAAUUUGGACAGGGAGAUUCUGCCAGAUUUUGGUGAAGUAACUAAUAACAAACUACAUAAACACAGUUGCUUAUCUGAAUGUUCAAUAUUUGAAACUGUGUAAGUGGCAAUAAAAAGGUGAUUUUGCAUACAAA